GGUACACCUGCUGGGUAUCUUCUAGGCAUUUGUAUUUACACCCAUAUUUGUUUCGACGUGUCUACUUCCUUUCAUUUGUCUCUAUAGUAGGGGAUUCACCACUGAGAUGGAUCAACACCCACGUCUUGAGAACGAAAGAUGGGGAAGCCCAGGUGUCCAAUAUCUCACCACAUGAAAGAAGAAAAGAUCAUCCUGCAUCUGUCACCCCCUCCAAGACUCGGGGACCCUUUUGGAAGAUUGACAGAAAGAUUGUGAGAUCUGGAGGAAGGGGUGUAGUGUUGGGUAGGCGUGUCCUCCGAGACAGUCACUCCUCCCACCCACUCACUCAUGAGGAGCAGGGUCUAAGGACAGAAGCUGGCUGAGGACACUGGGAAGCGGUUCAAGCUCCUUCUUCAAAGGAUCUUCUCAUCAAUGGAACAGGGACUGAAGAGUCUGAUGAGCAUCUCUCAACGCUUGCUGUUGCUGUUUAAGGAAAGGAAACAGCAAACUUGUUUAUUUUCUAAACCAACGACUUCCAUACAUCAGGAAAUAAAACACUUCAGUGCUUCCCUCAAUGCACAUUUCCAAUCUGAAGUAUAACUUACAGUUUUUCUCAUAAGAUCUCUUUUCAGUUUCAUCAUUUCUUCCUUGAGUUCGGUUUGGGUAACAAGAAGUAGAUUAUCAUUAUUCUUCUCCAUUUCUUCCAAAUUCUAAAACACAAAAUGUUACUUUAGUUAUGCAAUGUAAUGUUUCAUCUCAAGUUCCAAACUGUAAAAUAAAAUGUCAAAAAGGAA